rnacentral:rRNA from 1 species
UACGUAGGGGGGCUAGCGUUGUCCGGAAUCAUUGGGCGUAAAGCGCGUGUAGGCGGUCCGGUAAGUCCGCUGUGAAAGUCGGGGGCUCAACCCUCGGAUGCCGGUGGGAUACUGUCGGGCUUGAGUACGGAAGAGGGCGAGUGGAAUUCCUGGUGGUAGCGGGUGAAAUGCGCAGAUAUCAAGGAGGGAACACCAAUUGCGAAGGCAGCUCCGCUGGGACGUUACUGACGCUUGAGACGCGAAAGCGUGGGGAGCAAACGGG